AUCCAGCUGAUGAGUCCCAAAUAGGACGGAACGCGUGUUCUGUAU
rnacentral:hammerhead_ribozyme from 1 species